rnacentral:rRNA from 1 species
UAAACGACUCUCGGCAACGGAUAUCUCGGCUCACGCAUCGAUGAAGAACGUAGCAAAAUGCGAUACUUGGUGUGAAUUGCAGAAUCCCGUGAACCAUCGAGUUUUUGAACGCAAGUUGCGCCSGAAGCCAUCUGGUUGAGGGCACGUCUGCCUGGGCGUCACGU